rnacentral:lncRNA from 1 species
AAUGAAGUUAUACGGGACAAGGCGAGAGUUACAUUUAUGACAUAUAUAAAGAGGAAGUAAUCAUUUUCUUGGGGAGCUUUUUGAUCUUUGAAGUCUUGGAGGAGUAUCUAUAGCUAACUUGAGAAGGAUUUAGAGAUUUUCACCAUAGAGUUUGCAUCUUUCUUCUUUGUUUAAUCUUUAACUAUGUUUAUUAUUGCAUUUCAUCUUGUAUUUUCUUUCUCCUGCAUGAGUAGCUAGCCCAUUAGCUGGGGUUGUUGACUCUUAUUGCUUUUGUGUGAUUGAAUACUAGUUUAUCUUGCUUAUUAUUACUUGGGUUGUGAUUAUCUACUUGUUAGAUUCUUAUUUGUGAAUUUGGUGGUUGCAAACACUAGAUCCCCCUACAUAUGCAUUUCUUGCUUGGAAGAGUAGAAAUUGUAUUGAGUUUUUAAUGAGUAGUAAGGAAUCAAGUAUAUUGAGGAAUCGAUUGUGCUUGAUUAAUGAAUUGAACAUUUUCCCUACUGGUAAAAGUAGGAAUUGGGAGAUUCCUACUUGGAUCUAUCAAUUGGGUCUUAAUAUUUUUUCUUGGGUUUGGAAGAACUUUUGGGGAUUAGCUUCGUAGAGUUGGAAAAUCCUGAUAAGUAAUUAUCAAUUGGAUCAUUUUCAUUGAUCCUAUGUAUUUGAGCAAGAUACAUGUGUUCACGAACUAGUUAUGUCAUAUUGAGGCUACAACCCUGGGGUUCCUCUCUUAAUUGAAAAACAAAACAUUGUUAUUGCACUCCAAAUGUUCGAUUAAAUUCUUGGCUUAGAAAAUAGUCUAGUUUUAGAAUUAACUACUCAAUCACCCUUUUAUUUGAAGAUAACUUAGGACUUUAGUGUAGGAUUGAACGUUAUUAGUAGGUAGCCAAGUGUGGUCAUCUGUUAGGUGGGAGAGGCAAGGGGCUUGUCUCAUAUCCUCUUCUCCUUAUUAGUAGUAGAAUUUAGCAACCGUGUAGUUUCUUAUUCUUCUAUGUAUUUCUAUUAUCUGUUGCUUCAUUUUGCUUUGUAUCUUGAUAUUUUGUUAUCAUUUUUUUCUUCUUGCAAGCCUUCUCUGAGUAACCUCCCUUCUGAGCCGAAGGUCUAUUGGAAACAACCCAUCUACCCCACAAAAGUUGCGUUAAGGUCUGUGUACAUUUUACCCUUCUUAGACCCCACUUAUGGAAUUACAUUGAGUAUGUUGUUGUUGUUUGCCUUGGAAGUUAAUCAAGGCUAAUUUUGUUUGAAGGGCUAUGCAUGUGAUUGCCUGAACCAUUGCUGCUUGACUUUUGUUCUUGUUUCUUCUAGACAUUGCUUUCCUCAGUGUGAAGUAGUUAUGCAAUUGUUUUUUUGACGUUCUGAGUGAAAUAUGAAAAAGCCUGAAAUUUUGAGUUGAAAGUUUCCAUUUUGUUCUUUUCACUAUCGGAACUAAUUUCUUUUUGUUUUGAGUUUGCCUUUUGGGGUUUUGAACCUGUACUUUGUUGACAGUUGAAUUCCCUUACCGAAUUGUUGCAAAGGCUACAAUUUUUUUUCAUAACAAGUAUGGAAGUUUAAAGAAACCACAUAAUAGGUCUAUGGCACCAAUCUUAAUUCAGUACGAUAUGAUAAAACAUCCUCUCCGCUAUCUGUCACUACUUUGAUGUCAUCAGCUUCUUCCUCCAUUCCCCCUUCAGGUAGAUUUCUCCCCCAACCAUAAUCAUCAUAAUUAAGUCCAAGGUUCUCCGCAAGCUCUAUAAUCUCUUGAUUAUCGUUGACAAAGUGGCUUGCUUUAUUCCGACAACAAUAUGGAUGUUGGAUAAUGAUCUAAUGUUUCUGGCAAAGGCGUCUCUGUCUUUCUGUUUAGUGUGUCGAAAGGAAAUCGUUUUCUGUUAAAGAAACAAAGAGAUUAUUUUUACUACUAGAAAAAUAUUAGUGGUAGCAACAGUUUACUGUUUCCUUGUGCUCAUGUGAAGUUGAUUGUUUCAAUGUUCUUUUUGGGCUGUCUGUUGUUCUUUAGAGUGUCAUUUGUAGCUAUCCUUUAAAAGGUUUCAAACAAAAUUUUCGCUGGUGUCUAGUGUCUACAAAUUUAUUGUCUAAGAAGUGAACUUUCUCCUAAGAUCAAAAGAGGUGAAUAAAACGGGCCCCACUUGUGGGAUUACACUGGGUAUGUUGUUGUUGUUCUAGCAGCAAUAUAUGUAGCGCUAACCUCAAACUUCUGUCAACCUCAAACUUUGAUAAUUUUCAGCGUAUAAGACAUGGUGCUGGCAUUGUGAACUCUUACGAAGCUGUACUUCUUGUUUUUCGUUUUUUUGUCUCGCUUGUCUCAUUAAAAGAGGAGAUAUCUCCCCUUUUCUUCUACCUGUCUCUGGUGGAUCCUUUUAUUUUCUUUUUGGAAAUGCCCUGAUUGAAAAUCCAAUGAACUGAUGGUACCUCCGACACUGUGAUCCAUAUGCAUCCCUACGUUCCUUAACAAUUUUUUCCGUGGGAUUUAAUAGAUCAGGUAACAUACAUACAGUAGUCUUUGAUUCCUCAAGUUGACAUGGAUAAGUUUUCUUUUUUUUGAGACAAACAUGGAUAAGUUUUCUUAUGUGGACAAAUUUCAGUCUCCUAGGUUCCUAGUUCCUACACUUGUGAUCAUUAGUGUAUUUCAGUGUUUAAUGCAAAACUACAUCUCAUUUCAAGGCAGUUUUUUUUUUGCUAGUGUUGGUGGUACUGUGUUAUAUCUUUUAGCUCUUCUGAUUUAGUCUCAUUUCCCUAUAAUCCUAUCUUACAUUUGUAAAGAGGUAGUUUAGCCACAAACUUUUGUUUAAGUCUAAUGGCCUGUAUUCACAGCACUUUACAUCAUUUAGGAUGACUAAAGGAAUUUCCUUCAUGAUUAUUGUCCACUUCCCUUCAUAUUGUCUUGACAGAGCAAUAUAAGCAUUGAAGGGAAGUCAAAUGAACACCAGCCAUUUAAGGUUUCCAUCUUUUCAGUCAAGUAGCAUACUAAAUAUCAAGUAGUCUAUUUCUUACAUAAUCCAAGAAUUGUAUGAAUGAUUUUCCUUCAAUAAUUUCAUAUGCCAAUACUUCUGCAUAGUUAUUUGGUGAUAAACCACUUGUUUAACUUCUACUUUCUACUUUCUACUUGCUUUGAUAGAUAGACACCUAUGAUAUAUGUAAACAAUAAUUUGCCACUAAUUAUAGUUACCGUUGAUCUAUCAUGUUUAAGUGCCCUCUCAAAAAUCAUAAAGUCUGGAUUUUCAACUAUUAAUCUCACUCAUUUCUUCACAACAGGGCCAGAUCUAUUCCCUUUUUCACUCGGUUUUUCUUUUUCUUAUGUACAUUAACUUUGUGACAUCAAUAAUCUCUUUGCUGCCAACACUCAUGUUUAUGCUGGUUUAAAUGUGUGGAAUGCCCCAAAAAAAAUGUAUACUGUCUGUUUAGUUGUGUUAGGAGUCCAGUCCUCCCCACCCCUCCUACCUCUCCUUUUUCUUUAUUUACUUUUAAAGAUCUCAGAAGGGGAGUGCCUUAUAUAUGUAACUUACUUCGCCGUCCAAUUUUCUUCUCCUACUUUGUGAUUGCUAGGUUCUCAUAACUAUGAAUUUCUCAAUAGACUGAGCUGCCUGCAUCCAACAUUUGCACCAGAAGAAAAAGCUGAAAAUUUCUUAUAUAUCCUGUGUUUGAAAUUUCUGUGACAUGAUUCUCAUUUCAGGAAAAAAUGAUACCUGACUCAGUUAAGCCUUUUCAGACAUUGAGCUCACAUUGUGUUCUCUGUUGAUAUUAAUACUACUAUUUUGUAAAGGUGCUGACUUGGACCUCUUUGUGUGUAAAAUCUAGUCGAACCAUCCAUACCAGGAACACACAUCAAAACACCUUCCUGCUCUAAAAUUGCUUCAUUAGCCUCUCCAUUCAAUACUCUGUCUCAACUAAUGCACAACUCCCAUCUUCAAAUUGUCAAACCUUAUUCCACUGUACUGAAAAUGACUUGAGUUUCAACACACGCUAGAGUCCUUCCAAACUCCAAAAUAACGAGUCUCACAGGGCGACUAGCUCCAAAUUUGGAAUUCAUACCAGUACUUGCUCCUCUAUAUGUAAUCCAUAGUCAAACCACCAUGCUGACGGCCUCACAACUCAAUAUAUCAGCUACCACCAUACAUCCGAUGAGCCAGUCUGAUAGAACAACCUGCCCUAUAGUAGAAAAACAAACUCUCUCAGUUUUCCUAGCAGAGGCAUAAUUGGUAAUAGAAGACAAUAAGGAAGCAACGGAACAAAAACUAAGCAAGAACAAAACAAAGGAUCAUACUAUACCAUUAAACAUAAUUGCCACACGAUGCUGCAAUAUAGUAUAAACCCAUCCAGUUCUCCAAAAUAAAUCAGUGGAUGCAUUGACAAGUAUAGUCAAACUAGAUCAAAGAUCACUAUAAAGCUGCAACAAGAGAACUAUUAGCUGCUAUAUUUAUUUGGCUGAAACAAUAACAGCAUGGCCUGGAAAAAGAUCAUCGUCUACUUAUUAGUAGUAGAAUUUAGUAAUUACGUAGUUUUGUUAUUCUUCUAUGUGUUCCUACAAUCUGUUGCUUCAUUUUGCUUUGCAUUUUGAUACUUCAUUGUCAUUUUUUUCUUCUUGCAACCCUUCUCUGAAUAACUUUCCUUUUGAGCCUCAGGUCUGUUGGAAACAACCUCUCUACGACUCUAUCCCACAAAGGUAACGGUAAGGUCUGCGUACAUCUUACCCUUCCCAGACCCCACUUCUAGGAUUAUAUUGAGUAUGUUGUUGUUGUUGUUUUCUUUGGAAGUUUUUUUGUUUAAGGUAACUUUGUAUUAAAGCCAGUACUUAGGUAGUACUGAAAAAACCAAUUUACAAAUGGAAUAGAUACAAAAUAUACCAGAUAUGAAACCAAUCCUAAAUGGUGCCUAGGACAUCUAGGAUUUAUUCGUGACACUAGAAUACAGUUUAAUGCACCAAAGGCAAAAAAGCAAAAUGCAUUUUAGCUUAAUAUCCUGUACUAAAAUCCUCCUAUCCUUGAAGAUAUCUGUCAUUUCUUUCCUUCCAAAUAGUCCACCAAAUACUUGAUGGGAUGAUCCUCUAUCUCUCUCUGUUUCCUGCACCAGCUCCUGCUUCCUCCCAGUUAAAAAGAGUGUCAGCAAUCUUGCUUGGCAUUGUUCAGUCUAUGCCUUUGAGAUUGAUGAAAAUCUUUCAUAGUUGAUCUGUAAUACUACAGUCUAGGAACAAAGGGUUUACUGUCUCAGCUUCCUUUUUGGAAAGGAAGCAUCUAGAGCAGAGAGCAAUAUUCCUUUUGAUCAAUUUUCAUGUGUCAAAACUGCUUCUUUAGCUGGAAGCCAGGUGAAACAAGAUACUUUGUAAGGUAUCUUAGUCUUCCAAAUAUGCUUCCAAGGCCAGUUAGUAAUAUGUGGCCUACUUGGUUCAAAAUCCUAUACCCUGAGUUGACCUUAUAUGCUUCCACUUACAUGUCCACUCCACCAUAGGUAAUUUGCACCUUCUUGUAACCCUUGAAAAUUCUCCAACUGGUUAAACAGUUCCACAAGUUUAGGUAUCUCCCAAUCAUUCAACAUUCUUCUGAAUCUAAGGUCCCACCCUUGUUGUGUCCACAUCUCGGCAAUUAAUUUAUGUUGGUCUAAGGCUAUAACAAAUAAAUCUUGGAACAUGUCUUUAAAGCUCCUUGUCUCGAUCCAUUUGUCUUUUCAAAACCUAGUCUUGUUCCCAUUAACCACUCUGAUGUGGGAGUGGUUUUUGAGAAAAGGCAGUGGCUUCUGAUAGUCCUCCAAAGAUUGAUUCCAUUUGGAGUAUUGACCUCCUUUGAGACCCAACUGUCCUCUUCCCCGUACUUGCUCUUUAUGACUCUGCUCCAUAGUGUUUGAGGUGCUUGUGAAUAUCUCCAUAGCCAUUUAAGCUUCAAAGCUUUGCUAUGAUGCUUCAAAUUCUUGAUGCCAAGUCCCCCUAGUCUCUUGUUUCCGAUGAUUUCCUUCUACUUGACUAGGUGAAAAGCUUUUUUCCUUAUUCCCUUGCCAAAGGAAAGAUCUCUUGAUCUUGUCCAGCCUUUGAAUGACUUCGGGAGGGAUUGGGAAUAGGGAAAGCAUAUAAGUAGGCAACGCAUCCAAGACAACAUUAAUCAGAGUGAGUCUACCUCCAAGGGACAAAUACUGAGAUUUCCACCUUGUCAAUUUCUUCUCACACUUCUCCAAUACUGAGUCCCAAAUUCCCUUGGAUUUAGAUUGUGCUCCCAAAGGCAUACCUAAGUAUACUGUUGGUAGGUUCACCACCUAGGAUUAUAGCCAGCAGCUCCAUAUUGGGCACCUGAUUGAUGGGAUAAAUGUGGCUCUUCCUCCGGUUGAUGUGAAGUCCUGAGAUGGCCUCAAACAAAUCUAGAUUUACUCUCAAGUACUUCAUCUGUUCCUCUACUUCCCCACAAAAUAUUAUAGUGUCAUCAGCGUAGCUGAGUGAUUUCCAUUCUUUGAUUAUUUUUUCUGCCCACUUCAAAACCUUUGAUCCAUCCAUUAGUAUUGACCACCUUUACCAUGAUGUUAAGACCUUCCAUGGCUAAAAUGAACCAGAAGGGACAUGGGGUCCCCUUGUCUGAUCCCUAGCUGAGCAUUGAAAAAACCUUCAGGGCCACCAUUGACAAGAAUGGAGAACUUCACUGUUGAGAUACAAAACUUCACCCAGUUGACCCAUUUAGCACCAAAACCCAUUUGCCUAAGAACUUGCAAGAUAAAUUCCCAAUUGACAUGAUCAUAGACUUUCUCAAUGUCAAGUUUACAUAGAAUGUCAGGUUUCUUCUGAGAAAUUCUUGAAUCAACUGCCUCAUUAGCUAUCAACACAGCAUCCAUAAUAUGUCUGCCUCCUAUAAAGGCCAUCUGUUGUGAAUCUACCAAUGUAUCCACCACCCUCUUCAACCUUUCUGUCAGGACUUUGGAGACCAAUUUGUAGAAACUCCCUACUAGACUAAUUGGUCUGAAAUCUUUCAACUCUUUUGCGCCUUUCUUCUUGGGUAUCAUGGCUAUAUAGGUAGCAUUGAAACUUUCUUCAAACAUCUCUUUAGAAUGGAAGUUGUGGAAAGCUUGCAUGAUAUCAUGCUUCAGAACCUCCCAACACUUGAUGUAAAAUCCCGUAGGAUAACCGUCUGGGCCUGGGACUUUGUCUGCUGCACACAUCUUAAGACAGUUAUAAACUUCUUGUUCUUCAAAUUCUCCCUACAAAACUUCUUUUUCAGCUUCUUUAAUUCUAGGACAGUUGCUGAUGUUUACAGUAGGCCUCCAUUCUACCUCCUCUAUAUAAAACUUACUAUAGAAUUUGACAAUCUCUUCUUUUAUUCUUAUUGGUUCCACAAUAGUCUCCCCUUGCACCUCUAGUUUGUCAAUAUGGUUGUAUCUCUUAUGGGCAUUUGCUGAUUGAUGAAAAAACUUGGUGUUUUUAUCGCCCUCCUUGAGCCAUAGUGCCCUUGAUUUCUGUCUCCAUACACUCCUAAUUUUUAGGACUUCUUCCAAUUCCAAAUAUAACUCACUUUUUUAGCAACCUCCUCUUCUGUCAGGAUCCUUGAGUCCAGAAUUGAGUCAAGAUCUGCCAUUUGAUUAAGCAAUCUUGACUUUUGAAGUUUCAGAUUCCCUUGAUCACACCUACUCCUUUCCUUGAGCUUUCCUUUGAGGGCUUUAAGUUUGGAGGCUAAGAUGUAACCAGGUCUCCCCGAGAACUCAAAAGAACUCCACCAGUCACUAACUUUGUCCACAAAACCUUCUUUUGUCAACCACCAAUUCUGGAAGUUGAAAUAAGAUUUUGGGACCUCCCAGCUACCACAUUGAAGUGCAAUAGGCACAUGAUCAGAAACCAGUCUUUGCAAAGGCACUUGUUUUAUGUUACUGAAACUUCCAUCCCAUUCAGAAAAGAAAAGAAAUCUGUCUAUCCUUGAAGCAGCCUCUUGAUUAUCUCCCUUAAACCAUGUGAAUGAGCCAUUUUCCCACUGUGAGUAGACCAAUUCCAUAUUCAAGGCUCAUUUUGUUAAAAGGGCUAUACAUGUGAUUGCCUGAACCGUUGCUGCUCGACUGUUGUUCUUGUUUCUUCUAGACUUGGCUCUCUUCAGUCUGAAAUAAUUGUGCAACCGUUCUCUCGAUUUUCUGAGUGAAGUAUGGAAAAGCCUAAGUUUUUGAGUUGAAGUUUCCAUUUUGUUCUUUUCACAAUCUGGAUAGUUUCUGUUGUUUUGAGUUUGCCUUUUGGCUUUUAUUUUGGGUUUGAACUUGUGCUUUGGUGGCAGUUGAGUUCCCUUACGAAUUGUUAUAGAGAACUGAAAAUUUCAAAGUGCAAAUAUAUCAGUUGUAAGAUAGUUAUAAUUAGAUUUUUUUCCAGUAGUUAAUGACAAUCUUUGGUUGAAGAGAAGCAUAUCCUUGUUUGGUUAAGUCUAUAAUAUUAAGUGUAGUAUAAAGAGAAUGUGCUAGCUUAUCAAAAAUCUAUCAAAGUUAAAUGAAUUAAAUAGUUGGUUUUAGUAGAAUUGGUAGCUGUUUUGAUUUUCUGAAAAUGUUCAUAGAGCAUAGGAUGAUAAUUUUGAAUAUUAAGUGUAGUAUAAAGAGAAUGUGUUAACUUAUCAAAAAUCUAUCAAAGUCAAAUGAAUUAAAUAGUUGGUUUUAGUAGAAUUGGUAGCUGUUUUGAUUUUCUGAAAAUGUUCAUAGAGCAUAGGGUGAUAAUUUUGCAAAGGCUACAAUUUUUUUUCAUAACAAGUAUGGAAGUCUAAAGAAAAGACAUAAUAGCUCUAUGGAACCAAUCUUAUUUCUAGUACAAUAUGCUAAUCAUCCUCUCCGCUAUCUAGCACUACUUUGAUGUCGUCACUUCUUCCUCCUUUUCCCCCUUCAGGUGGAUUUCUUACCCAAACAUUGUCAUCAUAAUUAAGUCCAAGGUUCUCCGAAAGCUCUCUAAUCUCUUGAUUAUCGUUGACAAAGUUGCUUGCUUUAUUCCGACAACAAUAUGGAUGUUGGAUAAUGAUCUAAUGUUUCUGGCAAAGGCGUCUCUAUCUUUCUGUUUAGUGUGUCGAAAGGAGAAUCCUUAUCUAUUAAAGAAACAAAGAGAUUAUUUCUACCACUAGCAAAAUACUAGCGGUAGCAACAGUUAACUGUUUCCUUGUGCUCAUGUGAAGUUGGUUGUGUCAAUGUUCUUAUUGGGCUACCCAUUGUUUUUUAGAGUGUCAUCUUUGAAGUUAUCCUUUGAAAAGUUUCAAACAAAAUUUUCGCUAGUGUCUACAUAUUUAGUGACUAAGAAGUGAACUUUCUCCUAAGAUUAAAAGAGGUGAAUAAGUCAGAGUUGUACAUCGCUUUCAAGCAGCAACAUAUGUAGCGCUAACAUACUGUUUUAGAUACAAAGAAGAAUGUACACUUGUGCAGAAUAAGAGAUUGUGUUACACUUCUGCCAACCUCAAAUUUUAAUAGUCUGAAGCUUUUAAGACAUGGUACUAGCAUUAUGAACUCUUACGAAGCUGUACUUCUUGUUUUUCAUUUUUUUUGUCUUGCUGUCUCAAUAAAAGAGGAAAUCUCCCCUCCCCCGCCUCUUGGUGAAUCCUUUAUUUUGUUUUCAGAAUGCCUUGAUUGAAAAUCCAAUGGACUAGUGAUACCUGUGUUCCUUAACAAUUUUAAUUUGAUGGAUUUAAUAGAUCAGUUGGAAUGCAUACACAACAGUCUUUGAUUCCUCAAGUUUUACAUGGAUAAGUUUUCUUAUGUGGACAAAUUUCAGUAUCCUAGGUUUCUUGUUCCUACACUUGUGAUCAUUAGUGUAUUUCAGUGUUAAACGCAAAACUACAUCUCACUUCAAGGGAAAUUUUCUCUGCUUGUGUUGGCGGUACUUUGUUAUAUCUUUUAGCUUCUCUGAUUCCGUCCUAGAUUUUCCUGGCCACUGUAGCAUAUGCAUUGCCCUAUAUUCCUAUCUUACACUUGAAAAGAGGUAGUUUAGACACUAACUUUUGUUAAAGUCUAAAAAAGCCUGUAUUCACUGCACUUUAUGUCAUUUAGGAUGAUUAGAGGAAUUUCCUUCUGGCCAUGAUUACUGUCCACUCUCUCCAUGUUGUCUUGACAAGCGAUAAGAGCAUCUAAGGGAAGCUAAAUGAGCACCAACCGUUUAAGGGUUCAAUCUUUUCAGUCAAGUAGCAUACUAAAUAUCAAGCAGUCUAAUCAUAUAUAUAUAUAUAAAAGAAAACCUUAGGCCCGCCUACGUGGCGCCACCACAAACCAGAAUUCUCUUUUAAUUUAUUUAUUUACAAAACUAGCCUCUCCCUUUCAUGAAAAGUUGUGAAAUUUAUGAAAAAUUGUGACUUUUAUGAAAAAUUGCGACUUUAAUGAAGAGUUGCGACUUUUAUGAAAAAUUAUGAUUUUUAUGAAAGGUAGUGACCUUUCCGAAAGGUUGCAACUUUUCCAAAUAGUUGUAACCUUUCUGAUAAGGCACAAUAAACAUUUNNNNNNNNNNNNNNNNNNNNNNNNNNNNNNNNNNNNNNNNNNNNNNNNNNNNNNNNNNNNNNNNNNNNNNNNNNNNNNNNNNNNNNNNNNNNNNNNNNNNNNNNNNNNNNNNNNNNNNNNNNNNNNNNNNNNNNNNNNNNNNNNNNNNNNNNNNNNNNNNNNNNNNNNNNNNNNNNNNNNNNNNNNNNNNNNNNNNNNNUCUUCUUCUUCUUCUUCACAAUUAAAUAUUUGUGUACUUUGUUUUUGUUGAGUGGCUCACUGACACCAUUGCUUAUGUUACAGAUCCUGGUAUGUAUUUUUACAGUCAUUAAUUUAUGCUUAUGUUAUUAAGGAUAAAUGAUAAGAUGUAAUAAUUUUCAUUUUCCUUUACAUUAUUAAUGUUUGUUACUACGUAAUCUUGUAUGUAAGAUAAUAUAGUGUUUUAGUUUUAAUGAUUGAUAGGUUUUAAGUAUUAUUUUAUAAAUUCCAUGAUGUUAAAUUCCUUCGCGAAGCGCGGGUAACUUUACUAGUUCUUAGAUAAUCCAAGAAUCGUAUAAAUGUUCCUGCAAUAAUUUGUAUAUGCCAAUUACUUCUUCAUAAUUAUUUGGUGAUAAACCACAUGUUUGACUUCUACUUUCUACUUGCUUUGAUAGAUAUACACCUAUGUUAAAGAUGUAAACAACAAUUUGCCACUAAUUAUAGUUAACGUUGAUUUAUCAUAUUUCAGUGUUAUCAUAAAGACAGGAUUUUCAGCUAUUAAUCUCACAUAUUUCUUCACCGCAGGGCCAGGUGAGGUAUAUUGAAGUUUUCAAUCUAUUCCCUUUUUCACUCUGUUUUUCUUUUUCUUAUAUACAUUAACUUUUGUGACAUCAAUAAUCUCAUUUCUUCCAAUACUCAUGUUUAUGUUGGUUUAAGUGUGUGGAAUGCUUCCAAAAAAAGUGUUUACUGUUUGCUUAGUUGUGUUAAGAGUCCAUUCCUACCAACCCCUCCCUACCUCUCUUUUUUCUUUAUUUACUUUGAAAGAUAUCAUAAGGGGAGUGCCUUACAUAUGUAACUUACUUCGCGAUCCAAUUUGCUUCUCCUAUUUUGUGGUUGCAAAGUCCUCAUAACUAGUAAUUUCUCUUAAGAUUGAGCUGACUGUAUCCAACAUUUGCACCAGAAACAAAAGCUGAAAAUUUCUUAUAUAUCCUGUGUUUGAAAUUUCUGUGACAUGAUUCUCAUUUCAGUAAAAAUGAUAUCUGUAUCAUUUAAGCCUUUUCAGAUAUUGAACUCACAUUGUGUUACUAUUUUGUAAAGGUGCUGACUUGGGCAUCUUUGUGUGUACACAGUUGUCAUUGACAUUAUAAUGAUUAGUUGCACCAGUUUAUGAAUGGAACUUUAUACCAGUUAAAACAAUGCAUGAAAUCUGAACAAAAAUUUUAACAAUACCGGAACACAUUGGGAAAAGAUAAAACUUCAUUUCGUGUACAAGUGGCGAGCAAAAUUUAUAUGCAUACAUUCUUUUUUUCUUCAAAUAAAAUUGUGCUUCCAACCAAUAUGUACAUUUAAAUGUAAAGGAAAACCUUGUAAACUCUCCAUAUUUAGUUAGUGCUAAAAUAAUGUUUUAGAUACAAAGAAGAUCAAUGCCCACUUGUGAAGAAAAAGAGAUUGUGUCACACUUCUGCUAACCUCAAACGUUGAUAAUUUUAAGCUUUUAAGGGAUGGUGCUAAGUUAUGAACUCUUACAAAGCUGUACUUCUUGUAUUUUCCCUGCCUCUUGGUGGAUGUUUUCGGAAAUGCCCUGAUUGAAAAUUCAAUGGACAAAUGGUACUUCCAACACUGUGAUCCAUAUGCAUCCCUAUGUUUCUUUACAAUUUUGAUCCAUUGGAUUUUAUAAAUCAGGUGGCAAUGUGGCAUACAUACAGCAGUCUUUGAUUCCUCAAGUUUACAUGGAUAAGUUUUCUUCUGUGGACAAAUUUCAGUCUCCUAAGUUCCUACAUUUGUGAUCAUUAGUGCAUUUCUGAGUUUAAUGCAAACUACAUCUAACUUCAAGGCAAUCUUUUCUUGCUAGUGUUGGUGGUGCUGUGUUAUAUCUUUUAGCUUCUCUGAUUCAGUCCUAGAUUUAGCCUCAUUUAUUAUACUUCAUUUUUUCUCCUCUUUUUUCUCCACAUUGCGCAAGUAUCAACAUUUUGACAACUAUAUAUUAUGAUUCUAUAGACUACUAUAUUUUGACGACUCCUAUCGCUUCUCCAGCUAAAAAAGUCAGUAGGAUGAGAGGGGAGGCACAUUGUGUACAUUCACUAUCUAAUAUCCACUGUACAUCCCUUUCUCUGACCUGUUACUUUGUUUCACUCACUUUCACUCGAGAAGUCAUGACCAGUAUUUUCUGAGGGCAAAGGCAAGUAUGAGGUGUAUUACUCAAGGAGACCACCACCUUUUCAUUUCCUCUUUUUUUUUGGUAACUAAGUUUCCUUUAAUCACCAAAGUAGUCUGUACAAGUUCCAUUGUCCAGCUUAAUACCCAACUGACUAUCUCAAAGGAAAAACAAAACUACAUCACUACCUACCAAUACUAGGAUUCAAGUUUCUACAAAAGGAAGGGAUGAGCUAAGGCUAUCUCCCUAAUCAACUUAGUAGUCUCCUUCAGCUUCUUCUAAAAAAUGUGCAUGUUCCUCUCUAUCCAGAUGGACUGUACAAAUUCAGUAUAUAUAGGUUUGAAGAUCUGAGCUGCCUGUGACUUCCCUUUGGCCUGUUUACUGAUCCAAUGUACAUGUUGUUCCUAGUUGGUGAAUCUAUGCAUAAAUCCUCUCAUCCAUAUGACUAAACCAUCCCAGACCAUAUUAGUAGUUUGACAGUGCAAGAGCAUGUGAUCUCUGGUUCCCUCGUGAGUGUGGCAAUAGACACAUUUUCUAUCCAUAGUCACUCCCCAUGCUAGCAAUUUGUCCACAGUCAAAAGCCUCCCAUGUAAGGUUAGCCGUAUGGUGAACUGUGUCUUGGGUCUUGCAUCAUUACCAAAUCUUAGAGGCUUCUAUAUUACCCUCUCUUGGUCACCUAUCAACUGCAAGUAUAGUUGCUUUAUCAGGCUUCCAUUUCUGUAGGAACUAGGCCAUCUGUGCAGGUUCUACCUACUUUCAAAGAGCUUCCUCACCAUCCAACUUGCCUGUUGUGGCUCUUGUGCUUGCACAAACAACUGACCUUUAAUGUAAUAUGUGUGAAUCCAUUUGAUCCACAAUUUAUCAGCCUUGUGUUCUCUAUCCCAACAUACUUUGAAGAUGGCUGCUUUGUUCCACAGUUUCAAAUUCAUCAACCCCAGGCCUCCUAUAGACUUGGGAGUACAAACUUUAUCCCAAGCUAUCAAUGCUUUCUUGGUUACAGUAUUAGUACCUGACCAGAGAUAGCUUCUACAGAAAGCUUCAAUUGUUUGAAUUACUUUAGAGGGUAAUACAAACAUCUGUGCCCAGUAAGCUUGUAUGCCGAAUAAGUAAUCCUAGCCACCAUUUUGUUAAUCAGAGGUUGCCAUUGCAUCAAUGAGAUCUUUUUGCUAGACAAAGGAAUUCCAAAGUAUUUAAAGGGCAACUCUCCCUUUGUUUAUCCCAGGUGUGGUAAGAUAAGAGCCUGAAUUUUCAGAGGGACACCACCAAAAUAAAUGACACUCUUUGCACUAUUUGCUUGUAGUCUUGAAGUUUCUGAGAAAUCUUGAAAGCAUAUGUGUAGUUGCUUGACAGACUCCAAAUCUCCUCUUGAGGAUAGUAACAGGUCAUCUGCAAAUGACAAAUGGGUGAUUCCCAGUUUGGACCAUUUAGGAUGGAACUUAAAUAAUUUCUGCUCCUUUACUUCAUUGAACCUUCUACUCAGGUAUUUCAUAGCCAAAGCAAAAAGAAAAGGAGACAUAGGAUCCCCUUGUCUUAUUAGUUCAUUUGUUGCAUUGAAAGGCACUGAAGGGCAGGCUCCCCAUUAUCAUGAUGUAAUAGUUAACCAUCUUCACACAUUCCAUUACCCAUCCAAUGAAUCUCCAAGUAGCACCAAUCCACAGAGUCAUAGCCUUUUGUAAGUCAAUUUCAUCAUCCUUCUUUGUUUACAUUAUCUAAUACUAUGUCUAUAUAGUAGCUCACUCUUGCUGGAUUGUGUCCCUUUGUCUCGGCCAUUGUAGCACGUGCAUUGCCCUUAAUUCCUAUCUUACAUUUGAAAAGAGGUAGUUUAGACACAAACUUUUGUUAAAGUCUCAUGGCCUGUAUGGCUGUAUUUACUUCACUUAACGUCAUUUAGGAUGACUAAAGGAAUUUCCUUCUGGCCAUGAUUGCUGUCCACUUCUCUGCAUAUUGUCUUGAAAGAGCUAUACGAGCAUCGAAGGGAAGCCAAAUGAACACCAGCCAUUUAAGACUUCAGUCUUUUCAGUCAAGUAGCUUACUAAAUAUCAAAUAGUCUAAUUCUUAGACAAUCCAAGAAUUGAUUUUCCUGCAGUAAUUUCAUAUUCCAAUUACUUCUGCAUAGUUAUUUGGUGAUAAACCACCUGUUUGACUACUUUCUUCUUGCUUUGAUAGAUACACACCUAUGUUAAAUAUGUAAACAACGAUUUGCCACUUAUUAUAGUUGACGUUGAUCUAUCAUGUUUCAAUGUCGCCCUCUCCAAAAUCAUUAAGACUGGAUUUUCAGCAAUUAAUCUCACUUAUAUAUAGUGCUUACGUAUGUAACUUACUUUGUCGUCCAAUUUGCUUCUCCUUUUUUAAGUUUGCAAAGUCCUCAUAACUAUUAGUUUGUCUUAAGACUAAGCUGCAUGUAUCCAACAUUUGUUUCUCUUAUAUGUCCUGUGUUUGAAACUUCUGUCACAUGAUUCAGCUGACUUCUGGUGCUGACUUGGGCAUCUUUGUGUGAACAGAUGAUGAAAUUUGAUGGUCUCAGGGAACUUGGUACUGAGGCUGCUGUUGAGCUGAUCCUACACCAAGACUAGGCUUCAUAACAUGUUGACGAAUUAAGGCCCCUGAACUGAGGGUUCGGUUAGUAAAAGGGACGACUUUGUCUCCCUGGAAUAUCGUGCAAAAAAGCUCAAUCUGGGAUUAUUUUAGCCCACCCUCUAUAUGGGUCUAACUAUAUAAUAGUACCUAUUAUCAUAAGCAAGAUAAAAUAAUUCUCAUGGAAUAUCUCAGGAUCAUUAUCCUUAUCCUACCCCUGAAUUUUUUUCUGAAACUAAUCUGUUGUUGUACAACAGGCUGCUGGUAAGUGGUAAGUAUACACAAAUUUUAAUCUGUAUUUACUCAUUUAGUUGGAAGGCAAUAUACAUAUUAUAUACUGUUGCCUCAUCAUAUAAGGCCUAAUUUCUGCAAAGGAAUUUGCAUCUCUAUCUGGGAGAUUGUACAAAAAAACUACAUAUAUAGUACUCCCUCCGUCCCAUUUUAUAUGUCACAUUUUUAUUUUGCACUUGCAUUAAGAAAUGAUGUAACUUUAC